rnacentral:rRNA from 1 species
AUGAACGCUGGCGGCGUGCCUAAUACAUGCAAGUCGAGCGAACGGACGAGAAGCUUGCUUCUCUGAUGUUAGCGGCGGACGGGUGAGUAACACGUGGAUAACCUACCUAUAAGACUGGGAUAACUUCGGGAAACCGGAGCUAAUACCGGAUAAUAUUUUGAACCGCAUGGUUCAAAAGUGAAAGACGGUCUUGCUGUCACUUAUAGAUGGAUCCGCGCUGCAUUAGCUAGUUGGUAAGGUAACGGCUUACCAAGGCAACGAUGCAUAGCCGACCUGAGAGGGUGAUCGGCCACACUGGAACUGAGACACGGUCCAAACUCCUACGGGAGGCAGCAGUAGGGAAUCUUCCGCAAUGGGCGAAAGCCUGACGGAGCAACGCCGCGUGAGUGAUGAAGGUCUUCGGAUCGUAAAACUCUGUUAUUAGGGAAGAACAUAUGUGUAAGUAACUGUGCACAUCUUGACGGUACCUAAUCAGAAAGCCACGGCUAACUACGUG